AUAGUGGAGGACUAGUGGUUAGGCCACGGGGCUUUCAACGCCACGGCCCGGGAUCGAUUCCUGGCCAGGAUA